rnacentral:rRNA from 1 species
AAGGAUCAUUAAAGUAUUCUUCGGGUUGGCCAGCGCUGCAAAGCGCGGCUGCCCAAACCUUACACACAUUGCUUAGUUAUUUUACACUAUUGCUUUGGCUGUGGAAACACGGCCAGAGGUUUAAAACACAAGAUUUCAUAUCUUUUUCUACAAACCACAGUCAAACGAAGUAUUAAACUUAUAAUCUUCAAAACUUUCAACAACGGAUCUCUUGGUUCUCGCAACGAUGAAGAACGCAGCGAAAUGCGAUACGUAAUGUGAAUUGCAGGUUUUCGUGAAUCAUCGAAUCUUUGAACGCACAUUGCACCCUCUGGUAUUCCGGAGGGUAUGCCUGUUUGAGCGUCAUUUCUCUCUCAAACUUUACGUUUGGUAUUGAGUGAUACUCAUGUAUUUGUGUUAACUUGAAAUACGGUUUUGGCAAGGGUGUGUUAAAAACAGCCGUCGUCCUCGAUAAUGUAUUAGGUUCUACCAACUCAUUAUAGUGGAAGUCAGCAGUCUUAGCAUGGUAAGCUCGGCCUAACAACCUCUUCAUUAAGUUUGACCUCAAAUCAGGUAGGACUACCCGCUGAACUUAA